rnacentral:rRNA from 1 species
GUGGGGAAUCUUGCGCAAUGGGCGAAAGCCUGACGCAGCCAUGCCGCGUGAAUGAUGAAGGUCUUAGGAUUGUAAAGCACUUUAAGUUGGGAGGAAGGGCAGUAAGUUAAUACCUUGCUGUUUUGACGUUACCGACAGAAUAAGCACCGGCUAACUUCGUGCCAGCAGCCGCGGUAAUACGAAGGGUGCAAGCGUUAAUCGGAAUUACUGGGCGUAAAGCGUGCGCAGGCGGUUUUGUAAGACAGGCGUGAAAUCCCCGGGCUCAACCUGGGAACUGCCUCCAAAACUGCAUGACUAGAGUACGGUAGAGGGUAGUGGAAUUUCCUGUGUAGCGGUGAAAUGCGUAGAUAUAGGAAGGAACACCAGUGGCGAAGGCGACUACCUGGACUGAUACUGACACUGAGGUGCGAAAGCGUGGGGAGCAAACAGGAUUAGAAACCCUGGUAGUCC